UACGUAGGGUGCGAGCGUUAAUCGGAAUUACUGGGCGUAAAGUGUGCGCAGGCGGCCGCGCAAGUCGAGUGUGAAAUCCCCGGGCUUAACCUGGGAACUGCGUUUGAAACUGAAAGGCUAGAGUGUGGCAGAGGGGGGUGGAAUUCCACGUGUAGCAGUGAAAUGCGUAGAGAUGUGGAGGAACACCGAUGGCGAAGGCAGCCCCCUGGGCUAACACUGACGCUCAUGCACGAAAGCGUGGGGAGCAAACGGG
rnacentral:rRNA from 1 species